UGUGAGCUCUGGAGCAGGGCAGAGA
rnacentral:piRNA from 1 species